rnacentral:rRNA from 1 species
UACGUAGGGUGCAAGCGUUUAAUCGGAAUUACUGGGCGUAAAGCGUGCGCAGGCGGUUUUGUAAGUCUGACGUGAAAUCCCCGGGCUUAACCUGGGAAUUGCGUUGGAGACUGCAAGGCUGGAGUCUGGCAGAGGGGGGUAGAAUUCCACGUGUAGCAGUGAAAUGCGUAGAGAUGUGGAGGAACACCGAUGGCGAAGGCAGCCCCCUGGGUCAAGACUGACGCUCAUGCACGAAAGCGUGGGGAGCAAACAGG